UCCAUCGUCGACCUAACUACAUUCCCCCUGCCUACAAGAUUAACAACUGCACUAUAUCUACUACUGAUUCCUUCAAGUACUUAGGAAUUCACCUAUCCAAAGGUUUGUCUUGGACAAAUCACGUAAGCCACAUAAUUAAUUCAGCUAACAAAAUUCUUGGUUAUCUUCGCCGUAAUCUAUUCAUGGCACAACCACCCGUGAAAUCAUUUGCCUAUAAAACGCUUGUGCGACCAAAACUUGAAUAUGCAUGUGCUAUCUUUGACCCUUACCAAACUAAUCUCACUAAAGCCCUUGAAAGCGUUCAAAACCGUGCUGCUAGAUUUAUUCUUUCAGAUUGCUCAUAUCACACUAGCGUUUCAUCACUAAAAUCUAAACUAGACCUAUCGCCUCUUGCCUCUCGUCGUCGCAUCUCUCGCCUAUGCCUCUAUCACAGGUUUUUUUUAUUCCAUACCUCGUGACAGCCAGCUGGUCCAGCUGGCUCAUCGUGUUCGUCGAACAGGCCAUCCGAACUCCGUAAUCCCACCACAAGCCCACACCACUACGUUCCUGCACUCAUUCUUCAUCCGAACUGCCCGAGACUGGAAUGGCCUUCCCAGACAAACUGCACUCAUCCGCGAUACAGCACGCUUUAGAUCUGCCAUUGAGUGUUCCGACUCGUCUUUCUAAUUUCCACAUCAUCAAUCCCGCCUUUUACAUGCCCACCCCUCAUGUAAUCUCCUUUUUGGACCCUUGAGGUAUUAAUAAAAAAAAAUAUAAAAUAUCAAGAAUCACCCACCAACCAUAACUGAUUUCGCAAUUUUAAUGCUAAUAGCAUAAAACGCCAAUCAUUUCUAAACGAUGCAUGCACCGACAAUUUUUCUAAUACAAGUCAAUUUUUCUCUUUAGUGCCCUUCCAUGCAACAAGCUUGCUUCAGAAGCUUAAAGAAGAGGAGGCUCUGGUUCAGCAGCAACAAACAUUUUCUGAUCGUGAAUCAUACAUUGAACACCCAAGACUGGCAAAGGUGCCGUGGCAGGAACAACUCGUAACACAAGCACGUUGUGACAGUUCGAAAAUUCAGAGGAGAAAUUAUUUCGACGUCACCGCCAUACUUUAUGUCAAGAUACGCUUGGUUCCAGCAUUUCAAGAUGAGGGAAAUGCCGCGCUGGUACCGUUCGUGUUCAAGCCACCAAAGAAGACAUCGCCGUUCCUAUUUUCAAGUGAGAAUGCUUCUGCAGCCCAUCCAUUGCUAUUGCCGGGGCUAUAGAAGCAAUGCCAAUUCUCAAGCAGAAGUGGGCCAUUGGUUUGAAGAGCUGUUCCUGUCCAUGAAAAAAAAAAUAAUGCAGGCCCAAUGCACAUCAUGAAAUCUGUGUGAGGGGAAGACUAACGUGCUCGUACUACGCAACGUGAUGUACACAGUGACCAUCUCGAAAACAACCUCACAAGGGCGGAGGAAGUACCCCUGAGGUAAAUCUGGGCUGUGGUCAACUUAAUCGCUGCUGCCACGUGCAAGUGGAAGCGUUUCAUCGAAUACAAUGCCACCUGUCUCAACUAUACGGCACUGGCACAAGGCGCCAAUGUGUACCACCUGCUGUGGACUUGCCAAAGCACAUAACACUCCUGUGAGCCCUUGCUCCGACUACCUAGAGUUGCCUCCACAGUGACUGGCAUGCUGUCGUCAUGGAAUCCAGUCAUCAACGUUGUCGCCAUCAGUACCGGAAAAUUUGCCAGGGCCACGUGGUGGAGCCAGGAUGACGAAUGGCAUAGCAGCCGCCUCCGACGCAGUUUCGUCGCCGGUAGACAUGCUUAGAAUGGCGACUAGGCAGCUGCUGCAGAUCUUCAUGUUGCACUAGGCCCCAGCACCUACACCAAGAUUUGCGUGGUGACCUACAGGUCUUCAAGACUGGGACAGCUUCCAUGUUAAGCCGGAUGGACAAGUACCAUAUUUGCAUAAUUAUAACAUGCACAUUUUUUUAAA